rnacentral:lncRNA from 1 species
UUGCCUGCUUCCCUCUCCAUCCAGUGUCUUUCAAGAGAUGAGACACACUGUAGCACCCUUCUGUUGGGGAGCUUAGCGAGUCCUAUCUAUAGCACAAGUGUCCCCCAGGGGACUGACUCACAGGGGCAGAAAGCGUUGUCAGCCCAGGGGUCCACUUAUCAGAUGGAGUGGUUCAUUAUCAUCCUUUCUUUGUUUUACCUCCAGCAGACCCUUAGCUCCAUGUUUGGCUACCUCAGAAUUUGGGAAUGACCAUGUUGCCAACAGUAUAGGAACUUCCACUGCUUAGCUUUCAGUUCAUCUUCUGAAGAUAGUCAGAGCAAUUGUUCUCAACUGGCUUGCUGUUUCUAGUGGUUGAGCACUUCCAAGCCUGACUGCCCUGUGGCCUUCAGCUCAGGAAGUGAAUAUAGCAACGAAUGGCACAUUAUCAUAUAUUGUGACCAGGAUGCGUCUAUGCCAAAUCUCACUCGGCUGUGCAUUGUUCUAUUGAAGCUAUUGUCUAUAAGUUAGAUGUUAUAUUAAGUACAAGAUAAGCCUAGCCUCCUGCAAUAGGAAAUGUCAGUAUUCUUUCUCUCUCUCCCAUCUCUUCUUCCUCCUCUUACUGGUAUUUUUUUUUCAUAAUUUUAAAAGUAUCUAUUUACUAAAUAUGUGGCUUAAAAUACAGUAAUCGUUUUAAAAAUCUUUUCAAUAAGAAAAAAAAAUGUUUUUUAAAUAAAGUAAGUCUUUGUUUUC